rnacentral:rRNA from 1 species
UACGCAGGGUGCAAGCGUUAAUCGGAAUUACUGGGCGUAAAGCGAGCGCAGGCGGUUUGUUAAGUCAGAUGUGAAAGCCCCGAGCUCAGCUUGGGAAUUGCGUUUGAAACUGGCAGGCUAGAGUGUGUCAGAGGGGGGUAGAAUUCCACGUGUAGCGGUGAAAUGCGUAGAGAUGUGGAGGAAUACCGGUGGCGAAGGCAGCCCCCUGGGAUAACACUGACGCUCAUGCGCGAAAGCGUGGGUAGCAAACAGG